rnacentral:rRNA from 1 species
CCUACGGGGUGCAGCAGUGAGGAAUCUUGGUCAAUGGGCGCGAGCCUGAACCAGCCAAGUAGCGUGAAGGAUGACUGCCCUCCGGGUUGUAAACUUCUUUUAUAAAGGAAUAAAGUGAAGCACGUGUGCCUUUUUGUAUGUACUUUAUGAAUAAGGAUCGGCUAACUCCGUGCCAGCAGCCGCGGGAAUACGGAGGAUCCGAGCGUUCGCCGGAUUUAUUGGGUUUAAAGGGAGCGUAGAUGGGUUGUUAAGUCAGUUGUGAAAGUUUGCGGAUCAACCGGAAAAUUGCAAUUGAUACUGGCAGCCUUGAGUACAGUGGAGGUAGGCGGAAUUCGUGGUGUAGCGGUGAAAUGCUUAGAUAUCACGAAGAACUCCGAUUGCGAAGGCAGCCUACUAAACUGCCACUGACAUUGAUGCUCGAAAGUGUGGGUAUCAAACAGGAUUAGAUACCCGUGUAGUC